UACAGAGGUCCCAAGCGUUGUUCGGAUUCAUUGGGCGUAAAGGGUGCGUAGGCGGCGCGGGAAGUCGGGUGUGAAAUUUCGGAGCUUAACUCCGAAACUGCAUUCGAUACUGCGGUGCUUGAGGACUGGAGAGGAGACUGGAAUUCAUGGUGUAGCAGUGAAAUGCGCAGAUAUCGGGAGGAACACCGGUGGCGAAGGCGGUUCUCUGGGCCUGACCUGACGCUGAGGAGCGAAAGCGUGGGGAGCGAACAGG
rnacentral:rRNA from 1 species